UUUGCUUCUUGACCUUUUGGCAAAGAUCAAGUGUAGCAUAUGUUUUUAUUAGUUUAAAAUCUGUUAUGUCCUCAACUUGAGGAUUUUAUAUUAAAUGAGUUUGGGGACUGGGAAGUGUCGGAGCUUAGGCCAUCCUUUCCAUGCAUGAAGCUGGUCAUUGCUGCAUUUCUUGAAUGGUGUGAAAAUA
rnacentral:snRNA from 1 species